rnacentral:rRNA from 1 species
UACGGAGGGUGCGAGCGUUAAUCGGAAUUACUGGGCGUAAAGCGCACGUAGGCGGUUGGGUAAGUCGGAUGUGAAAGCCCUGGGCUUAACCUGGGAACUGCAUUCGAUACUGCCCGGCUAGAGUAUGGGAGAGGGAAGCGGAAUUUCCGGUGUAGCGGUGAAAUGCGUAGAUAUCGGAAGGAACACCAAUGGCGAGGGCAGCUUCCUGGCCCAAUACUGACGCUCAGGUGCGAAAGCGUGGGGAUCAAACAGG